AACGAACGCUGGCGGCAGGCUUAACACAUGCAAGUCGAACGCCCCGCAAGGGGCGUGGCAGAUGGGUGAGUAACACGUGGGAACCUUCCUCGAUGUACGGAACAACUCCGGGAAACUUGAGCUAAUACCGUAUACGUCCGAGAGGAGAAAGAUUUAUCGCAUUGAGACGGGCCCGCGUCGGAUUAGCUAGUUGGUAAGGUAACGGCUUACCAAGGCAACGAUCCGUAGCUGAUCUGAGAGGAUGAUGAGCCACACUGGGACUGAGACACGGCCCAGACUCCUACGGCGGGCAGCAGUGGGGAAGGUUGGACAAGGGGCGCAAGCCUGAUGCAGCCAUGCGGCGUGACUGAAGAAGGCCUUCGGGGUGUAAAGGUCUUUGGUCAGGGACGAUAAUGACGGUACCUGGAGAAUAAGCUCCGGCAAACUUCGUGCGAGCAGCCGCGGUAA
rnacentral:rRNA from 1 species